rnacentral:sRNA from 1 species
UGCUCUUGAGACUGGAGUCUUCUGUUUAUCCACCUGACAAGGACAGCAGUGACAGAGCAGGCUUCCCCCGCCCAUGCAUUUGCCAGUGUGCACCAGGCAUGCCCAGCAGGGACCGUCUGUAAGGUUGAGAGAGGAGUUUGGUCUCUAGGGCCCAUCUCUACU